UCCGUUCAAAUGCUGCAAACGAAUCAUUGGACCUUAUCAUCUCUUUUUCGAAAUAUUUUAAUUUUUAAUUUUUAGGAUGUAUCCACGCUAAAUUUAUAUAAGUUAUCUGUCUUAGCAGCAAUAAAAUAAAAUAAAAUAAAAUAAAGGCCAGUGGUAAAGAUUUUUUUUUUAUUGAAGAGGAUGAUGAUCAUUUACAGGGUGGAUUUGUAAAGUACAUGGAGAUAGAAGAACUGUAGGAGAUAUUACAAGGUUCCAAAAGCCAAUUGUGAUGGGAUCAGAACAAGAUAAACUGAUCAGGAGCACCAAAUGACCGGUUAGGGGACGUUAAACUUCAAUAAACGGAUGCAACCUGCAGCACUGAAUUUAAACUUCAGCAGAGAAAUUAAGAACUGUGAAAGCUUCACCUCCCGAAUUCUGGACUUCUUGAGUAUCAGCAGGUUCUAAACUUGUUCUUCAUCUCUUCUUUCCAACGGGAGAUCAAAUCUUUUGUCGUGUCAAAACACAGCAAGAACCAGGCAGAAAAGAUUUGAUGUGAUGGAAACAGCGGUGAGGAGUGGUCAGGUAAAGAGCAAACAGCAGGAGUCGCAACAGACUUCCAACUCAAUUCCAAACAGUACUGACAGAGAGUUAAAUCAACGCAUCAAUCCUUCUCUGCAGAGACAACUGUGACCACAAUCAAAGACAUCAGGAUGACAAGUUGGCAAAGAGAAGAAGACAGAUGUUGAAUCUGAAUGCAGAAGAUACUUAUCUUGGAGCCCUAAAACAGCAGAGUAAGAUGAAUUUAUACACCUGUUAAUGACGAAGGUAUGAUCCUUGGCUUGUUCCAUAUUUUCCAAAACUCUGGCAACAGCUUGUGAUCACAUAUACGUGGAAGAGACUAGCAUCUCAAAUCUAAGAAAAGGUGUUCAAAAUUGAGUUUUGACUCGACCCAAAUUUCAAAUAGGUCGAAUUAGGUCUGAAUUCAAUAACUCACUUAGAAAAUAGAACAGAUCUAAUUUUAGAACCUAAACCAGCUCCACGAGUCCUCCAAAACGAGUCAGAUCAAGUCUAAACGAAUUAGGUCGGAUCGAGUUACGGAUCAACCCGAUCCAUUUGUAGCCUUAAUGGGGGCACCGCCGAUGUGCUUUUAUUUUGAUGGGGAUAAGAUUGUUUGAGAACAAGUUCGCUCUCUCCUGGAAUAGAGAUAGGGGCGGAAGUGGAUCGAAUAAUAUCCAUUCAAAUUCGUUUUUAUAUUCAAAUCUAUUUGAAGAUUCAUCGAACUAAUAUCCAUAUCCACAUCCAUCUAAAAAAAAUUGAAUAUAAAUAUAUAUAAAAAACUAUUGGACGUAUCCAAUUCUAUUUAAUUU
rnacentral:lncRNA from 1 species